AUAUUAAGAGAUGGAUUAAUUAAGCAGGUGACAGUGCAUAGUCGCGUCCUCAAAGCCUCCUCUCAGGUGCACGAGACAGCCAAUAUUAACUGUAUUGGCAUGUGGGAUGCGGCGCAUGGAUGCUCUCUAUGUAGUAAAAAGAACUGAUACAAAACUCGCAAACACAAGGGAAUUAAAUGGACAAACAAGAGCUGUUAGGUCAGGUAAAUUGCUCGAACUCCUGCAGGCUAUAACAAUCUUACUAGAUGUGGUUAGAAUUGGUUUGAUGAUCCAGUUCCAGAUGUAUUUAACCCACUGAUUCAUCCCCUUUAAUAUUCAUAUUCAACGCUCUGCAUGACUUUCCAUCAUUAAAUUCAAGUCCUGAGGCAUCCAUUGAAGAACACUCCUCAAUACGAUAAUCUCUUUCCUCAACUAAAGACUUCAUAUAUGAGCAUGGCCGCUCAUCUGCUUCUAUAUUAGAUACAGGCUCCUGGCCUGAACCAAAAGGCAAUUCAAAAGAUGAUGAACCAGGAGGUUGUGUCCUCAUCUGCACAGAUCGCAAGAGUGCAGCCCUCCUCAAGUCAGCUGAGUGGCAAAUAUCACUAGGUGAUGAUGGAAACCGACCUUCAGAAUCUGAACCUCUUUGGCGAGGUUGUAAGCAGGUGACACUAGUGGCAAUGCAGCCAUGUAGCGGAUAUGAGCUCGUAGAAGAAGCAGAAGAGAACCCACCAAAUGGUCUUUGGUACCUAUAGGGAGAAACUGGACUGGUGGGCAGACUCUCAGGUUGUGAUGAGCAAGUAUUUAUAGGGGUCUCACAAAAUCUAGAGUCAUCUGAGUCUUCUGACAUUGGUGAAUAUUGCAAGGACAUUUCAUCCCUUGCAUAGAACAUGCCUUCAGACCUUGCUGGAGAUUCCAUAAGAUUUUCAGAAAGCGGUUCUCCAACAGUUAACCCGUUUAAGCUAGAUGCCAUUAUCUCGCUUAGGUAACGCUUGUGAGAAUG
rnacentral:misc_RNA from 1 species